AGUGCGCAGUAUGCAUGUCAUAAGGACUGGCACCUUUUGUAUUACGUAAUUCUAACGUUGGGCUGGAGCGCCCAAACCCCGUGUGCGACUCAAUAAAAAAAGAAAGACCUUAUGAUAUGUGUACAUAUUGCUUAAGAUUGUCCUUUCGUUCUAGGACAAGAGGGUCUCCAAAGCGGCAGCAUCAUCGCAUUAACCCUCCUCGCCCUCCUGGUUACCAGCCUUGUGAAGGUGAGGUAGAUGUUCUCGAGAGAGCACCUGACGACGCACACAUAGCCGACGAAAUGCCGGUGGAGCAACGACACUUCUUCGGGGGUAGCAUUUUUUUUUCUUUUUUUUUUUUAGAAACAUGUUCAAGACUCUUCAGGUGAAUUGCGGAGUGGCCGAGAGUUCACAGCUGAGAGACAACCAAAAGAACGCGAAACAUCAAAUAGAAAUAAUGGUGCAAAUGUAUCCCUGUGAUAGUACCACGAAUAAAUUACUGCGCCACCUG